rnacentral:snRNA from 1 species
GGACAUGAGGGUGAUCUGCCUGCAACAUCUGUCACCCCAUUGAUCACCAGGGUUGAUUCGGCUGAUCUGGCUGGCUAGGCAGGUGUUCCCUUCCUCCCUCACUGCUCCAUGUGUGUCCCUCUCGAAGCUGCGCACUCAUCGAAGAGGGGAUGGCCUUCCCCGAAUAGAGAUGGACUGGUCUUCGGUUGAGGGCAUAUGAGUAGCUGCACUCCCCUGCUAGAACCUCCAAACAAGCUCUCAAGAAGGGAUCCAGGGAGUCAGGUGGUAGUGCAAUGGGUUAAGUGCACGUGGCACAAAGU